rnacentral:rRNA from 1 species
UACGUAGGGUGCGAGCGUUGUCCGGAAUUACUGGGCGUAAAGGGCGCGUAGGCGGCCCGCUAAGUCGAACGUGAAAUCCCCGAGCUCAACUCGGGAACUGCGUCCGAUACUGGCGGGCUUGAAUCCGGGAGAGGGAUGCGGAAUUCCGGGUGUAGCGGUGAAAUGCGUAGAUAUCUGGAGGAACACCGGUGGCGAAGGCGGCAUCCUGGACCGGCAUUGACGCUGAGGCGCGAAAGCUAGGGGAGCAAACGGG